rnacentral:miRNA from 1 species
UCAUGGAUUUUUCUGUGUUGGUGUAGUGUACUCAGGUACUCACAAGCAUCAUAUUCACCUGAGUACACUACGCCAACACAGAAAAAUUCAAUA